rnacentral:rRNA from 1 species
GACGAACGCUGGCGGCGUGCUUAACACAUGCAAGUCGAACGGUGAAGCGCCUUCCUUUUUGGUGGGUGUGGAUGAGUGGCGAACGGGUGAGUAACACGUGAGUAACCUGCCCCCUUCUUCUGGAUAACCGCAUGAAAGUGUGGCUAAUACGGGAUAUUCUGGGUCUGUCGCAUGAUGGGUCUGGGAAAGAUAUUGUUUCGGUGGGGGAUGGGCUCGCGGCCUAUCAGCUUGUUGGUGGGGUGAUGGCCUACCAAGGCGGUGACGGGUAGCCGGCCUGAGAGGGUGGACGGUCACACUGGGACGGAGACACGGCCCAGACUACUACGGGAGGCAGCAGGGGGGAAUAGUGCACAAUGGGCGCAAGGCUGAUGCAGCGACGCGGCGGGAGGGAUGGAGGCCGUCGGGUUGUGAACCUCUUUCGCCAGUGAAGCAGGCCUGCCUAGUUUGUGGGUGGGUUGACGGUAGCUGGAUAAGAAGCGCCGGCUAACUACGUG